UACGUAGGGUGCGAGCGUUGUCCGGAAUUAUUGGGCGUAAAGGGCUCGUAGGCGGUUUGUCGCGUCGGGAGUGAAAACCUCGGGCUUAACUCGGGGCUUGCUUUCGAUACGGGCAGACUAGAGGUAUGCAGGGGAGAACGGAAUUCCUGGUGUAGCGGUGAAAUGACGCAGAUAUCAGGAGGAACACCGGUGGCGAAGGCGGUUCUCUGGGCCGGUACUGACGCUGAGACGCGAAAGCGUGGGGAGCGAACAGG
rnacentral:rRNA from 1 species